GUGGAAUGCAAGAAGUCUGAUUGCAAAUGGACAGGAGUUUAAAAGAUACUCAGAACACAGACGACAGUGGAAAGAAAGAGAGGCAGAAAAUGGAAUAGUGAAUAUCCUGAAAGAAGAAGGAAUGCAAAGAGAUAAAAUGAAAUCCCUAUUUAUUUUUCUCAAUAACUCAGGUGGCGGUAUGCACCAAAGAGAUGUAAUCUGCCAAUAAACUAAGAAG